rnacentral:lncRNA from 1 species
AGUGUUAGAAGUUUCAAUAUUGUGCCAACACUGUUCUGUUUGCCCAGUGUUUUGGGAAUGAAUAAAUGUUUCACUGGAUAAUGAGUUUACUUUUAAUUGCUUUCCAUUAUGUGGAUUAUAAUAUUCCAUGAUGCAGAUAGUAGCAAGCGGUUAUCUUUGUAAAAAUACUUGUGUUUUUGAGCCUUGGAGUUUUAGAAUAUUUAAAAUUAGGCAAUGAGCUGGAAAUAUUAUGUUUAACGGUGGCAAAACAAGUAAACAAAUAAAUACAAUCCAUAAAUAAAUAAAUUUCCACAUUGACAAAGAUAAAUAAGGCAUCAUAAAUGCACAUAAUUAAAUAUCAGAGUAUGUCAAGUCCCUGUUCGACAUUUGGGGAAAAUUUGUGUUGUUUGUUUUCUAGGAAACCUUGCCAAGUUGUAGAAAAUGAAUAUGCCAUGAAUAUGUAAUAAAACUACUUACAUGUCAAAUAAAAUUAUUUUGAUUAAAAGCAUGUAUUCUUCUACAGAAAGUUUGCAGAGAAAGGUGCACAACAAAUUCAAGUUAGAUUAGAUCAACAGCAUAAACACUUGAUUAAAUAUUUUUUUCAAGUUUAUAAUAGACCAUCAUUUUUUCAAACGCUUUUAAACAUGGUUUAACAGUAGUUUAUUUAUUUUUUUGUCACCUAGCCCAGAAUUCAGUGUGUUGCUUUUUUUUUUCAAAUUUGAAGCCAUUUGGUAAUUAAAACAUUUAUUAUAUUGAGACAUUUAAACUGCACUGUAAACUGAUGGAUGUUGUUUGUUAGUCUCAAGCCACAUUUUUCCUGUUAUGUUUAAUAUGACUAAGGCUGUUUUAGGAGACAUUAAUGGAGAAAUAAGAUUGUUAUUCACAGUAGUACGAUGUCCCCUUAUAAAUAUUUUUGGGAGUCUUUCGACAGUAGUUUUUGCAUGAUAUUUUACAGGUGUAAUAAUAAUCCAAUCUCAAACACCUGUCUUCUUUUCUCACAGAUAUCCUUCUCUCAACACAGCAGCAUCAUAGACCUGGUCCAUUUUUUGGUCACAUUGUUCAGGUGUGGCCCAGGCUGGUUGAAUGCCUGCUGCUGCUGCGAUCCAGCGCUUGAGGAGAGCCGGGUCUUGAGCGGGAUGAUCGUGGUGUCAAGCGAGGCAAGCUCGUGGUUUUGCACGUGGGUUUCCUUUGAUCAUGGGUCCGGCAAAAAGCAGCAGAUCUGAAAAAUCCAACUCCUCGUUGGAAGGAAAACUGGGUCUGUAAUAAGAUGACAGACAGAACGAGCCGAAUGCUGAAAAAACCGUCAAUGGAUAGAGGUAAGUCAGCGGUAUUUAUACUAUGG